AGAUUAAUAAAAUGUGUAAUAAAUGUAUUGUUCAUUGUUCAUUCAUGUUUGUUAAUACAUUAAUGUUAACAAAUGACAUCUUAGUCGGCGCCAAUAGCCUUGCGGUUAGUGCGCAGACAUAUACAGCGCAACUGCGCUGACGGCGACCCGGGUUCGAGUCCUGUCUCGUGGUCCUUUGCCGAUCCCGCUCCCCUCUCUCUUCACCAAAAAAACACUUUCCUGUCUACUCUACACUGUCCUUUCCAAUAAAGGCAUAAAAAGCCCAUAAAUACAUCUUUAAAAAAAAAAAAAAAAAUUACAUCUUAUAAUAAAGUGUUACCAUUAAUAUUUAUUUAUCAUAUUUUUGAACUUAUUCAUCAUACUGUAUUUUCUCUCGUUAUUUCACAGGAGCUUCAUAAAAGACGGAGAAAGCCAGAGUCUUGUGCCCUGCGUUUAUCAGUAUCCUUCUGUUCGUUGGGUGAAAAAGAAAAACUCAAUAAACAAAGUAAAAAAUAAUUUGACUGAUAUCCCCCCUGCCCCCACCCAAGGUUUCUAUAGAUAUCACGAUAUAUCGAUAUCGUGAAUUUUUUAUGGCCACAAUAACCGUUAUAUGAAAAAUCUAAUAUCGUGACAGCCCUACCUUAAACAUGAGCUUUUAAAUAUCUUUUAUCGACUGAUUUCAUUAAAUAAAAAAAUACAAUACGAAAAACUAAUAAUGGCCAAUAACUGAUAUGAAAACUUCUGUAACGUCUGUCCCUAAUAGAUGAUCUUAUAUUACUGGAAGAAUGAAAGUACACUUGCCUGGAAAGCAGCUUGACUCUUCGUUUCAAACGUGUCUGAUGCUUUUUUGAGCCCUUCUCCAGUGAUCUGAUUGGCUGAUAUGUCAAAAAUCCUCAGUCUGGGCAUAGUGGCCGCCACAGACAUCAGUUCUGGAAGGAGGUCAUUGUUCAGAUGGUUGGCAGAGAUGCGCAGUUCCGUGAGGCUGGCCUGCAGUUUGAGCACUCUGAGGAGAGGAGUCAGAGGCAAACUGAGUCCACAGACGUUCACACAGGAGCUGCUGACCUGCACCUCACACAGCCGAGACACACGCCGGUUCUACUCUGAAACACACAUGAUAACUGAAGAUAACCUAUAUCAGAAACGAGAGAAGUCAUCAGCUGUUAGAGAAGCACUAAGACUAGAAGGCGUGCGCGCUGAAGAAAUGUUUGCGGCCAGCUUCCCAGAUAUUAAAAAGCAUCAAAACCACCCCAUUUUUGGAAAGGAAUCAAGAGACAUUUUGAUUCCAUCAUUAAAAAAGUCAAGGCGGGAAACAGGAAGUCCAGUGCAGACCAUCAUAAUCUACAGGUUUUAAAGUGCUCCUCUCUGAUGUUCACUAUGAGAAGUCAUGGAUGGAGUGGACAAGAAAAAAGGACAAUGGUGUGGCAUCUCAGGAAGAGGUUCUUUAACUUCUACAGGCCAUUGCAGAUCCUCAGAUGAAUGAGGAGUUUGAGAACAAGACUGUUAUCCUUCAACAACAUCCAGAUUGGCAGUCCAGGGAGAAACUGAGAUGGUUCAUCAGCACAUCGCUUGUUCAUGCAGAGGUGAGCGUGUUAUUUUGUUGUCGGUUCUGUUAUUAAUCAGUAAUGAUGAAAGUGUAAAAACUAGUAUGACGCACGUUAUGCUCUUCUAUUUCCUGAACUAGAAGUGGGUGAAUGUGUUUGGAAAUGAGAACCUGAAUGUGUUUGCUUUUAAAAAUAAAGGUGUUGAAAGGAUGUUCUGAAGCA
ensembl:lncRNA